AAGUGUUUCUCUAUUUACAAGCCCUAGGUUUUUAGUUAUUGAACUAAGGGUACAAAAAGUAGCUUUAACAAAAAUGGUUUUCAGAUUUUAUUUUUCUGUUUUUUCUCUCUAGGUUUUUUUCGAACUGAUCGGAUAGUUAGGAAGGGAGGGACGAGUCUUGUGGUGGGCGAUGAUUAGAGGAGGAACGAAGGAAGCUGUGGAAUUGGGUGUUGAUCGGAACUUGCAGGGUUUGUUUGAGGAAGGAAGGAGUGAAUUUCACGCGCCAUCUAUGAGCGUGAAGGAUAAUGGGGACACGUGGCCCAAAACGUUUUGUGGGCUCAUUGAGAGGCCCAAGUGGUCUCAUAUUGGGCUACCCCCUCUGGACCGACUUUAGGUCCAAUUGGUGUGUUAUAUUCUGGGCCUUCAUUUCUUAUAUUGGGCUAACAUUCCCAAUGAGAAGGCCCAUCCGAGAAGGAGCUAUACUCUUCACCCGCCAGAAUGCACGCUCUCUUUUCAUAAAUGGCGAUAGCUGCUGUACCCUUGUGGUUCUCUCUUCCGGCGCAUCUUGCUUUUCUAACCCUUCUAACCCUAACCCUAAUCGAGCAUACACUGGAAAAUCACAACCCUUCAAUCCUAUCUCAAAUUCUAACACUAACCCUAACCUUAGUAUAGCAGACACUGGAAAACCAGAGCCUUUCAAUCUUCUCCCAAAUUAUAACCCUAACCCUAACCCUAACCCUAAUGGAACAGACACUGGAAAAUCGGGCAGACACUCAUCAUGAUAAAACCAGCUAGAGGCUUGUUUUCAGUUGUUCUCUUUAGUGUGGAGUAGAGCAGUUUGGUAGCUUGCAAGGUCAUCACCUUGAGAUCCCGGGUUCAAAUCCCGUCUCCGCUUCAUUUUAUUCUCAUUUUUUUUUUUCUCCUCUCUAUCGGUUGCUCUCUACUUUUUCCCUUGUUUGCAGUCACGUUAAAGAACAUGCUGAAAGUUAAAGAGCCUUUCCUUUGAUUAGUUGAAAGCAGUAUAGAAAGCGUCUCCUGUUUGGUCUUGAGCUGGACUCUUGGAUGAUCAACUUCCAUUUCAUGUUGUAUCAAUUAUGAAAUUAGGUCAUUUCAGCUACUGUGUUUUUUUGUGUGUAUAUAUAUAUAUAUAUAUUUGUCCUUUUGUUGUCAGAAUUUGAGCAAUUUACAUGCAUCUCGGUUGACUAGUUGUUGCCAUUCGCCUAAUGUAUUUAUUAAGCAAUCAUUUGUGUAUGCAUGUUGAAUAGUUGGUGUUUAAUUGCUUGUUGUUUCAUUUCCAGGAUUUCACAGUGGUUGCUUAGUUUUUUAUGGGAUCUUAGGAGGCACUAUACCUGCACUUGGAAAUAUUAAAGUUUGUCAAUCAUAUUGUCCAUUUUGUGGGUGUUGGAGCUUCUGCUUGCUCUUUGCUUCCUGGUGUUUGCUGGCAGCAGUUCUCUGUUUGCUGUUAAUGUUUUCCUUUUCUGUUGCAUGCUCCCUAGUCCCAAUUUUUUUUGGUGGUUUGCAUUCUACUGUUUAUACUUUCAGACUGUAAACAGCUACCAACUAAUUUUGCCCAACUACUUGUACAUUAUCCGCAAAACAGAACUAGUUCAUUGAACAUUUCUUCCAUUACUAACUUUGAGAUUGCAUAUUUUUUCUGCUUGCCAUUCUAGAUCCAAUGGAGUGGACUACGUCUAAAAUAGAUGGGACUCGAAUGCCUUAGGUCUUGCUGUUGUCAUGUGUCAUAUACAUACAUACACAUACACAUACACACACAUACACAUACAUACAUAUACAUUCAUACACACACACAUACAUACAUACAUAUAUAUUUGGGGGUGAGUAGGAUUUCAUGACAUCAUCUUCAAGAUUUGUUGUUGGAGAUAAUCUUUUUCGUGGAAGCUUAUUGAUAUUAUAUUUUAAGAUGAUCCUGUGUUACAUUUUUGUAUUUUAUCACGGAAUAAGCAUGGAAUACCAAAAGCAUCAUCUCUUUUUGUAAUCUUGUCCAUUUGUCUUAAGUUUCUAAAUCAAUUCUUUUGCUAAAGUGGUCUUGUCUUCUUCCUUUUCAAACAUGGCGAUUUGAACUGAAUGUUUGGUUAACUUUACCUCGUAUUUGAUGUAGCAUUGUUUAUGCGCAAUGUGUUCUUUGGGGUUUUAAUCGAGUUGACUGUAUCUCUAUUUCUUUUGGGGCAUUAUGGAUGACGUUCACAUUUAGUACUGUGGUCAAAAUAUAACGCUGAACAAAUUUUCUAGAAUACUUGAUAAAACUUGGAUGAAGUGUGAUGCUUCUCUCUUAAUACUGACUCAUGGUGAAGACUUGUAAGUUUAUCCUUGUUUAUGAUUGGGAUUUGUUUAUUUGUUUUUGUUAGUUUAUAUUGGUAAUAUAUCCAUUUAUGUUUAUCUAUAUACAGAUUUAGACUGCGUGGAGAACAUUUUCUGCCCUUUUUUCAUGAUGCAGCUGCUUGUGUUUUGCCUUUUUUUUCAAGUGUUAUUGUUAGUCUACAAUGAAAUGGACAGAUCCAGUGGCGUGGCUGUGCUGUGAAACUUUCUAUUCUGAUACUAACACAUGGUUUAUAUUUCAGUAAGUAUUGCUUCGGUUUUUCGAUUGCAUUUCUCCUUUUGCUUGCCAAUGGGAUGCAAUGGAUUGUAGCUGAAAUUGAUGGGGCUUAACAUGUUUCAGAACACUUAUGUAGUUGUGAUUUCAUUACCUAAUUGUUUAAUGCUGUUGGAUCUUCACUUAUAAUGCUUGAGGUCCCAAUUAAAAAUAUAAACAUGUAUUGCAAAUGCUGUUGGAGCUACCUUACCAGGAAAACAAAGUGCUGUUGGUUGUUGGUUCUUGGAGCUCCCAGGUGUUAGCAUGCAAUGCAGUUAGCAUUCUCCACUUCUCCGUUCCUUUCUCAGAUGACUCUUAACUCAUAGCCCCUGGUUGCUUGAAGGUAACAUUUUGAAGGAACUUGUACAGUAGCAGUUUGCGCUAGGGAGUUUACUGCAGUUAUUUAUCCAGUGUUGAUGCUGUUCUCUAUCUUGAUAUUUGCAUGGCUUCUUGCUCAAGUAUUUCGAGUGGCUUCUAAGACGAUGGAUGUCUUUUUUGGCCUCUGCAGCUAUAUAUUGCACAAGAACUGUUGGAAUGUCAUGCAACAAUAGGGUGUACUUGUGCAGAGAGUUGAGCCCAUCUCUGACUCCAGUAAUGUCUUGAAGGAGGUUUUGAAGUUCAAUGGCUCGCAAAUAAAAAACGUUCACCGCCUAUCUCACUUGGUUGACUCAUGCAAGGACAAGUAUCUAGUUUUCGAAUUUGAAGACGAUUACCUUGCUGUCAUGUUACAGUUGGAGCACUUGUGGGAGAUAGCAUUCAAUUGGUCUUGGUUUGUGCUUAUCUACGUUUUGAAAGAUGUGAAACCGCAUGGGUGGUAUUUGGUGGUUUUGCUUGUUUGUAGUGGAUCCUGAGCCGACGGACUUUUCGAAGAGAGAAAGAAUCUCUUCCCGAUCAGAUAGCAG